ACAGGCAAUAAAGAUCGACAUAAAAUCGCAACAUUCAAGCAGUUCGGAAAUUAUACAUUUCCAAUAUUGUAUGUUAACGGUAGAGGAUUUGGACGACAAACUUACGACGCCAUGUCUAUUUUGGCACCGCUGAGGCAAUGCUGUCUUAUUCGAAAAUCAACUUUGUUGAAGUAUAUUAAAUUAUAUUUAGGAGAUGAGAAACUUAGUUUACUAAUGAGAAAAGCAUUAGAAAGUGACCCAGUGCACCUGUUUUAGUUGAAGGACAUUUGAACGCCUUGGAUAGACGUCUUGUAAAAAUUCUGCAUGCUGUAGCAAUCUGCUUACAGUAUCAUGUUGUACGUGACGUAAUUGUUGCAGAUGACUUUUGACGGGGGCUUGAGAUGUCUGAUCUUACACAGUUUUGUAUUUUUAUACAAAGUCAGUUGUCAGUUUUUAUGCUUCCCGAAGGGUGGGCAUAUAGCUGCCGCUUUGCUGGUCCGUCCGCUUCUCUGGCCGGGACAUAACUCUGAAACAACAAGAGGUAUCAACAUGAAACUUUGUAGGUAGAUAGAUGUCAUUGGGUAAAUAUGCAAUGCAAAGAACCAUAACUCUGCCUUGCCUAAUUUUAAAGUCAUUGCCCUUUGUUCAUUUUUAUAUUUUGGACUUUGUGCUGGAUAUUUCUCUUAAACUUUAAGAGAUAUCAACAUAAAACUUUAUAAGUAGAUAUAUCUAAUUGGAUAAAAGUGCAGUGUAAAGAACCAUAACUCUGCCUUGUCUUAUUUUAGAGUAAUUGCCCUUUGUUCAUUUCUUUUACUUUGAACUUUGUCCGGGACAUUACUCUAAACUAUAAGAGACAUCAACAUGAAACUUAGUAAGUAUUUAGAUCGCAUUGGGUGAAAUGUUCAAAGUGCAAACGAAUCAUAACACUGCCUUGCCUAAUUUUGGAGUUAUUGACCUUUGAUCAUUUUUACACUUUGAACUUUGGGACAUAACUCUAAAACUAUAAAAUAUUUCAACAUGAAACAAUAUAGGUAGAUAGAUCUCAUAGCGUAGGAGUGUAGAGCAAAAUAUUCAUUAAUCUGCAGAGCCUAAGUUUGGAAUAAUUAAACUUUAAACUUUGUUCGGGACAUAACUUUAAAACUACAAAAUGUAUACUUUUCUGUGUCCAAAGCCUAUUCGGGGAGCAUCACCUGGUUCAACCGGCUCUUGCAUAUAAAGUUUCUUUACUUGAUUCCUUACAGACCUGUGGUUAUAUCUUAUAUUAAGAAAAAAAGUUAAAAUGUAACUGUUUAAAUUCAAAUUAUUAUUGUCUUGUAACGCACUACAUUACGCCCACUGAAUAUAUAUGUCCCACCGGA